rnacentral:rRNA from 1 species
GAUAUUAAAGAUUUAUCACUUGAAGAUGGCUGUGCGGCUGAUUAGGUAGUUGGCGGGGUAACGGCCCACCAAGCCUACGAUCAGUAACUGGUGUGAGAGCACGAGCAGGGACACGGGCACUGAGACACGGGCCCGACUCCUACGGGAGGCAGCAGUAAGGAAUAUUGGUCAAUGGACGCAAGUCUGAACCAGCCAUGCCGCGUGGAGGAUGAAGGUCCUCUGGAUUGUAAACUUCUUUUAUCUGGGACGAAAACGGGCUUUUCUAAGUCACCUGACGGUACCAGAUGAAUAAGC